CCUAGCCGCUCUGCGGCACGUGGGAUCGGGGCACGAACCCGCGUCCCCUGCAUCGUCAGGCGGACUCUCAACCACUGCGCCACCAGGGAAGCCCCUUCCUAAGUUUUGUACACUCAUAUUUGCAGUUGCCAGCGUCUUUUGAACACUCUUCUGACGUUUGGGGAAUUUCCUCCAUUUUGAGGCCUGCUUCCUAAGGCACAAGCCAGAACUUAGACUCCGAGAUGGAGAUGGAAAGUAGAAGCAUGCUUCCUAACAAGAGGCAUUCUUCCGGCUUAGCUGCUGGCUGAGCAAGACUAGAUUUCUUGACAUACCUGGGAGCUCUCAGAGAAAAGACUUUAUUGACUUUAAGGCUAUGUUUACAAGUCAACAGCUCAGAAAUAUUUUUGCUAUGAAAACCAUUUGGUGGCUCUACAAGCACAGGUUUAGAUAUUAUCUAUGGACUUCCUGUCAUGAAGAUGAAGAUUUAAAUAUCUUGUCUCCUCCCCUCUUCCCGAACCCAGUCAUAAACACUUCUCUGCUGUUCAUCUUCCUGACUGAGAUAUACUGUAAGUUUAAUUCACUCAAUGUUCAGGGUUAACCUUAUUAUGACUCUGGAGGCUAUUCGGUAUUGAGUCAUCUAGUAAACAUCUAUGAUUACUUUUCCUUUACUGCACAACUUGUAGUUUUCCCUCAGUUAAGAAUUGUUGUUUUCUCAUUUACCUAGUUUUCUAGGUACAUGCUUACCAUUUCUUGGUAUACUUGUCUACCAGAUGUUUAAAUAUCUUCUCAGUAUAUUUCUUUAGGUUGAGUAUUAUAUCAAUUUUAUUUUCUUAAGCUUCUUCUGGAGCAUUUGGGCUUGUAUGAGUCCAGAUGGGUUGCCCCCAUGCUUGGUGCAUGAUUCUGGGUAAAUAUGAGAAUUCCUUUGCAUUCAUCCUGUGUUGGAUCUCAUUUAUUCUGAAAAGCAUGUCUUCUUUUUUCUUGAUCUACUCCAUUGUUUGGGUUGUACAUAUCCUUCAGUAACUCUCUGAGAAAAAGUAUGUGUGUGUGGAAUGAAGGUAAAGUUUUUCAGUGAAAGAUUUUUCUCCUCACAACUUAGUUGUAAAGCUGGCCAGACAUUUAAUAUUAGCUAAAAAUCAUUUCCCUUCGGAAUUUGGAAUGCAUUGCUCCAUUUUCUUCUAACUUCCUGUGUUGCUGUUGAGAAGUUCAGAGUCAUUUUGGUUCCUGUUACUUUGUAUGUGACCUUGCCCCCACUCCCUUCUCUCUGGAAACUUGUAGGAUCUUCUCUCUGUCUUCUGUGCUCUGAAAUAUCUCUAUGAUGUAUCUUGGUGGGGGCCUAUUUUCAUUGCUGGACACUCAGUAAGCCCUUUCACACUAGAAAUAUAUAUCCAGCAAUUUUCAGAAACCUUAAAUUAUUUCAUUGAUGAAAUAAUUGUUUUCUCUAGUCUCUCUUCGAGGAACUUCUGGACUUGUCCUUUAAUUUGCUUAUGUUUUCCCUCUUAUUUUUCAAGUUUUUUUAAUUUUUGUUUUCUUAUUGCAAGAUUUCUUCUAUAUUCUAUUCCAAUAUACCUAUUGAGUUUUCAUUUUUAGAACAAUGUUUACAUUUUUUUGUUGUUGUUCUCUGUAACUCUGUUUUUUUUGGAGCUUCCUAUUCUUGUUUCGUUAAUUCAGAAGCUUCUACUCUCUUCUGUAGAUAUUAAUAGUAAUAAAAAAAUUUUUUUCCUUGCCAUCCUAAUCAUUGUUUACUUCAAGUUGCCUUUAUCUAUUUAUAUAUUUUAUUCCGAUAUUUAUGUGAGAGGUUAUCCUCAGAUGUCUGAUAAUUCUAAAUUGUUUGUUAGUGCAUGAUUAAGGGUGUUCUAAUAAAAAGCUGAGUGAAACUCCCAGUUCAUGGAUGACUUUCAUUUUUUUCUGUAGGUAGGUGAUGUGGGUCAUCUGUUUGUUUUGGAACUUCUAUUGUCUGCUUUUAAGUGAUUCUUCUUGGGUGUUCAGAUUCCCCAUUGAAUGUACUUACAUUAUCUAUAUCCCCAUGUGGAGAAUAUAGACCCACUGCCUGUAUUCUGAGAGCUGCACUGGGAGCAGAGGCUGGAAAUAUAAGCUUCGAAUAUGCAUA